AUGCGAUACUUGGUGUGAAUUGCAGAAUCCCGUGAACCAUCGAGUCUUUGAACGCAAGUUGCGCCUGAAGCCGUUAGGCUGAGGGCACGUUUGCCUGGGCGUCGUAU
rnacentral:rRNA from 1 species